rnacentral:rRNA from 1 species
CGUCAAAUCAGCACGGCCCUUACGUCCGGGGCGACACACGUGUUACAAUGGGAGGGACAGAAGGCCGCUACCCGGCGACGGGAUGCCAAUCCCCAAACCCUCUCCCAGUUCGGAUCGAAGUCUGCAACCCGACUUCGUGAAGCUGGAUUCGCUAGUAAUCGCGCAUCAGCCAUGGCGCGGUGAAUACGUUCCCGGGCCUU